GGAGGGGUCGCAUAGUUGGUCUAGUGCGGUGGACUUGAAAUCCACUGUACCUUCGGGUACCGCGAGUUCGAAUCUCGCCCCCUCCGCCA
rnacentral:tRNA from 1 species